CAAAGAUAAGGGAAUUGACAAGGAAGGCAAAAUUCAGAGACAUAAGGGGAAUUAUGGACAAAGAAGGCAAGACCGAGACAUAAGGGGAAUUUUUCAAGGUCAAGGAAGUAGAAAAAAAAUAGUAAGACACGGUGGCCACAAGGUAUAAAUACGAGCGUGGAACAGCAGUCAAUGUACUUCUUCACUUUGGCAUGCUUUGUCAUUUGUUGAUGUGCUGUUCAUUUUGAUGUGAAGUACCCAGCUUUUAUUGAGCUCAUUGAAACCUGCAUGGAAUAAAGAAGUUUUGCUUUUAUUCA